CCUCUCUCUUCCAGACCUUUCCAUCUUCCACGUCUACAUGCAGCGCAGCUAACAGGCCAACUGUUCGAUGGGUCCACUGUGGGAGAGACCACAAGAUGGUGCCCAAUGGCAGGAAGAUAGAAGUUGACGUCACCCAUUGCUGUAGCUCAUCAAACCCAACUGAGUGAAUUAGUUUGUAUCAAUUAGGCUACUGUAAUAGACUUUAACUACUCGUCAUUGCUGCGAGGUUACAGUUAACCCCAACAUGUUUCAGCAAGGAAAGUGAGGACAUUUAAAGCAGCUUGAUUACAAGUUGGAUCACUUAACUAAAUCAUACACCGCAGCAGUUUACCUUCACACAUUUUACUUUAUGUUUUUGUUUUUUUGCUGUUAGUUACACUGAGCUACUAAAAAAGAUUAAAUGCCUUGAAUUAUGCAAACUGUAUAGUGUGUUUGAACUUUGUAUAAUUGUUUUCUUGACAGAGAUUUCUCUGGACCUUUAGUGUAAGUUUACAGUAAAAACAUUUUUAAAUACUUGACCAGUCUUUGACUAAACUGUGACUAGUGUUUUGAGUUCCCAGUUAAGAAAAGUCUUGUUUUAGCAGAAUGUUGCCUCAUUUGUGUUAGUCACUCGUUCAGAGUGUCUGAACUUGAUGUACACUGUAGAUAUUAAUAAAGCCAGUUUUAUCACUUUGA